rnacentral:rRNA from 1 species
GACGUAGGGCGCGAGCGUUGUCCGGAUUUAUUGGGCGUAAAGAGCUCGUAGGCGGCUUGUCGCGUCGUCCGUGAAAACUCACAGCUCAACUGUGAGCUUGCGGUCGAUACGGGCAGGCUGGAGUUCGGUAGGGGAGACUGGAAUUCCUGGUGUAGCGGUGAGAUGCGCAGAUAUCAGGAGGAACACCGGUGGCGAAGGCGGGUCUCUGGGCCGAUACUGACGCUGAGGAGCGAAAGCGUGGGGAGCGAACAGG